rnacentral:rRNA from 1 species
AAUCAAGCGCGAGAAGGGCGUUUGGUGAAUGCCUAGGCAGUAAGAGGCGAUGAAGGACGUGAUACUCUGCGAUAAGCCGUGAGGAGCUGAGAAUAAGCUUUGAUCCACGGAUUUCCGAAUGGGGCAACCCACUUGAUUGUUUAUUAUUGUCGGCCGCAAGGUCGAUCAAUAGUAGGCAAAACCAAGUACUUAUAGACUGAAUACAUAGGUUUAUAAGAGCAAACCCGGGGAACUGAAACAUCUAAGUACCCGGAGGAAAGGACAGCAAUAGCGACUCCCCCAGUAGUGGCGAGCGAACGGGGACCAGCCGAGCCUUGAGAGUGACCAGAAUGUGCUGGAACGCACAGCCAUAGCGGGUGACAGCCCCGUAUGGGAAGCUCGAUGGGACGUAUCAAGUAGGGCGGGACACGUGAAAUCCUGUCUGAAGAUCGGAGGACCACCUUCGAAGGCUAAGUACUCCUUACUGACCGAUAGUGAACCAGUACCGUGAGGGAAAGGUGAAAAGCACCCCGACGAGGGGAGUGAAACAGUACCUGAAACCGAACGCCUACAAUCAGUCGGAGCCCCCUUGCGGGGUGACGGCGUACCUUUUGUAUAAUGGGUCAUCGACUUGGUCUAUCUAGCAAGCUUAAGCCGUUAGGUGUAGGCGCAGCGAAAGCGAGUCUGAAUAGGGCGCAUGAGUUAGAUGGAUCAGACCCGAAACCGAGUGAUCUAGGCAUGGCCAGGUUGAAGGUUGGGUAACACCAACUGGAGGACCGAACCCACAUCCGUUGAAAAGGAUCGGGAUGAGCUGUGCCUAGGGGUGAAAGGCCAAUCAAACUCGGAGAUAGCUGGUUCUCUGCGAAAUCUAUUUAGGUAGAGCGUCAUCCGAAUACCCCCGGGGGUAGAGCACUGGAUGGGUAAUGGGGCCCCACAGGCU